UGGGGGAUAUUGCACAAUGGGCGAAAGCCUGAUGCAGCGACGCCGCGUGGGGGAUGAAGGCCUUCGGGUUGUAAACUUCUUUUGCUCUGAACAAGGCAUGCUAAUGGGUGUGUUGAGUGUAGGGGUUGAUUAGCGCCGGCUAACUACGUGCCAGCAGCCGCGGUAAUACGUAGGGCGCGAGCGUUGUCCGGAAUUAUUGGGCGUAAAGGGCUUGUAGGUGGCUGGUUGCGUCUGUCGUGAAAGCUCAUGGCUUAACUGUGGGUUUGCGGUGGGUACGGGCUGGCUUGAGUGCAGUAGGGGAGGCUGGAAUUCCUGGUGUGGCGGUGGAAUGCGCAGAUAUCAGGAGGGAUACCGGUGGCGAAGGCGGGUCUCUGGGCUGUAACUGACACUGAGGAGCGAAAGCAUGGGGAGCGAACAGG
rnacentral:rRNA from 1 species